CUGGCGGCGUGCCUAAUACAUGCAAGUCGAGCGAAUUUCAAGGGGCUUGCCCCUUGAGGUUAGCGCGGACGGGUGAGUAACACGUGGGCAACCUGCCUGUAAGACUGGGAUAACACCGGAAACCGGUGCUAAUACCGGAUAAUUCUUCGCCUCACAUGAGGUGAAGCUGAAAGUCGGUUUCGGCUGACACUUACAGAUGGGCCCGCGGCGCAUUAGCUAGUUGGUGAGGUAACGGCUCACCAAGGCGACGAUGCGUAGCCGACCUGAGAGGGUGAUCGGCCACAUUGGGACUGAGACACGGCCCAGACUCCUACGGGAGGCAGCAGUGGGGAUAUUGCGCAAUGGGGGCAACCCUGACGCAGCAACGCCGCGUGAAGGAUGAAGGUUUUCGGAUUGUAAACUCCUGUUGUUGAGGAAGAUAAUGACGGUACUCAACAAGGAAGUGACGGCUAACUACGUG
rnacentral:rRNA from 1 species